CGAACCCACUUUUUAAUUCACGCUUGUCCACAUCUGCUCCGCUCUGAGGACAAACUUUCUGUUACUGUGUUUUAGAAGAGGAAACGACAGCAGUCGUGUGGAUCUACCAGCCUCACGCUGAGAUGAGAUCAGCCUUUGUCUUCUCUGAACUUCCUCGCUCACUUUACUCAUCAGGACCUCAGAAAGGAUAAAUGUACAGCUCCUCGUUGUUAGCCACAUGACGUUGGACCCUGCACUGUUAUUUCGCCCUUUUCCAAAGAGAUCUGCUUCUUGGAAAGAAAAGCCACUGGACUUCUUUAAGUUUCAUCUGAGAAGCUUCUGCAGCUGUAAAACCAAACGGUGGAGAGUCCCUGGUAUUUAAACUCUACUGUUCUCCAUAAGAACGUCAGACAGUCGGUGUCAUAAGCUCCGCCCUCCAUCUAAAGAGGGUCGUUCACUCCGUCUUCUCUGUCCAAAAUGUUAUGAUGAUGAUGAUGAUGAGACGGCCUUUAUUUAUCCGUUUGUUCAAUUCCACAAGCUGAAAACAAAGGGUGACAUCACAGUGGCUACAUCCAGGUUCAGCAGAAGGUAAAGAAGGAUUAUUUUUAAUAGUGACUCAUGCAAAGCUGCUCUAGACUGAAACAAUAAAAAUAUGAAAUGAUCUAAAUGGGUCGAUCUCAAGUUCACUUAAGGAAGCACAGGAUCAUUUCAGGCAGUGUUUUUAGUUUUACUUCAGUCGAGUAAAAUAUAUUUGAAGACCUAGUUUCAGUUUACUGUGAUUGUGAGAGCUCACUGCUGUAUUUCACGUCCGACUGCGACCUGCAGUGAAACGCUGCAGAACAGAUUUUGGAGAGAGUUUCUCAUUUAGAAAACAAAAAGUCAAGGACAGAACGCUGGAUAGAAGACAGCUGCAGAUCACAAUGUUCUACAGAUAAGAAAAGCAGUGAUGGCUCGGUGAGUCUGGAUCCUGCUCAGCUGCAGCUCCUGAACGUGCUCGUCGUCAGAUUUCUAAAUCUUUCAUUGUUGUAGUUUUGGUUUAAACUGGAAACUGAAUUUCUGCUUUGCACCAUAAUCAGAAAUCUUUUACACUUUUUGAUGUUUUAAAUUCUUUUGAUAGCUGACUCUGACUUUUGAUGUUUUCUUUUUUGUCGUAUCCUAUUAUUUCAUAUUUUUUGUCUCAUUAUUUCUCCUUCUUAACUUUGAUUAUUAUAUUGAAUGACUGGUGCCCUUGUCUGAGUUAGACUGUGUUAUCGUCUGAUUAUUAUGAGGCUUUUGCUUAUGGAUGGUGUAUUGUACUUUUAAUCUGCACUGAAGAUUUAAUUACAU
ensembl:lncRNA